GAACACAUUUAUCUGCACUUCAAACCGAAUUAAAUGAUUUGCCUAUAGUGUAUGUACCAUUAAUGCGGAGCCACUAUCUAGCUCCCAUUAUAUGGUUCCCCCUGUGGUGCCCGUGUUGAGAUUGGCAGAGCAGACGUUCCUUCACUCAUUUUGUGACUGUGCAGCGUUGAAUGCUCCUGUUAAAAGAAAAGGAUUGAGUUUUCCCCAUCACUUCAGCUCCAACCAUUGGAUCAUAUUUGAGUUAGUCGAGCUCUCACUAUAGGUGAACUGCCUGCGUAGAUACACCGAGCUAUAGGGAACUAUACACCCCAUUAAUAUCAAUCUGUACAGGAGCGGUUUGACAAAUGGGGU